GUGAAAUUGUUGAAAGGGAAACGCUUGAAGUCAGUCACGUUGGCUAGAAAUCAGCCUUGCUCUUGCUUGGUGUACUUUCUGGUUGAUGGGUCAGCAUCAAUUUCGACCAUUGGAUAAAGUCUCUGGGAAUGUGGCAUCUUAGGAUGUGUUAUAGCCCAGGGUCGCAUACAGUGGUUGGGAUUGAGGAAUUCAGCACGCCGCAAGGCCGGGUUUCGACCACGUUCGUGCUUAGGAUGCUGGCAUAAUGGCUUUAAUCGACCCGUCUUGAAACACGGACCAAGGAGUCUAACAUGCCUGCGAGUGUUUGGGUGGAAAAACCCAUGUGCGCAAUGAAAGUGAAAGUUGAGAUCCCCCUCAAAAGGGAGCAUUGACGCCCGGACCAGACCUUCUGUGACGGAUCCGCGGUAGAGCAUGUAUGUUGGGACCCGAAAGAUGGUGAACUAUGCCUGAAUAGGGUGAAGCCAGAGGAAACUCUGGUGGAGGCUCGUAGCGAUUCUGACGCGCAAAUCGAUCGUCAAAUUUGGGUAUAGGGGCGAAAGACUAAUCGAACCAUCUAGUAGCUGGUUCCUGCCGAAGUUUCCCUCAGGAUAGCAGAAACUCAUUAUCAGAUUUAUGUGGUAAAGCGAAUGAUUAGAGGCCUUGGGGUUGAAACAACCUUAACCUAUUCUCAAACUUUAAAUAUGUAAGAACGAGCCGUCUCUUGACUGGACCGCUCGAACGAUUGAGAGUUUCUAGUGGGCCAUUUUUGGUAAACCA
rnacentral:rRNA from 1 species